UACGUAGGGUGCAAGCGUUGUCCGGAAUUAUUGGGCGUAAAGAGCUCGUAGGCGGUUUGUUGCGUCGAAUGUGAAAACCCGGGGCUCAACCCCGGGCCUGCAUUCGAUACGGGCAGACUAGAGUUCGGUAGGGGAGUCUGGAAUUCCUGGUGUAGCGGUGAAAUGCGCAGAUAUCAGGAGGAACACCGGUGGCGAAGGCGGGACGCUGGGCCGAUACUGACGCUGAGGAGCGAAAGCGUGGGGAGCAAACAGG
rnacentral:rRNA from 1 species